GGGAAGGACCCUCCUGUCUCUCCCCCAUCUCGCAUCACUCCAGGAAGCCUCCAGCAUGGGAGGGAGCCGGGAGAGUGCAGGGGGGACUCUGGGGCCCCCAGUCAGGCAACCCAAGACCCCAGCUCUGCAGCCGCAGGAGUUACGAGUGCCCAGAUCCCCUUGAGCACCAAGCCGGAGACCACCUUGGGCUGGAGCCCAGCACGGCCACCGCCUCGUCUCGGCUAUCCAGCUUGGGACAGACAGCGUCCAGCCCCAGCUCCAUGGACACAGACCGUCCCCUCAGGGACACCCCAGCCUCUGACGGGGCUGCCAUGAGGGCAGAAUGUGGCCAGGGACUCCCAGCCCGUCGCACGUCCCCCACCUCCACUGACAACCUCCGAGAUACACACAUCUCUUCCAGCUUUGUGUCCGCCGCUGGACGGGACCCCCGCUGCCCAUGUGGAUGGCAGGGGACGGGGGCGCCAAGGGCCCCCACAGCCACACACGGCUGCACAAAAUGGCUCCCAUCUUGCUUCCUCAGCAAGAAGGAAGAUGCUGCUCUUUGGAUGGACGGCUGCUGCCCACCCCGUGCCCAGCCACUCCUCUCCCCUGGAGUGGCCGUCAGGACGCUCUUCCCUCGGCCACGGGGCUCUGUUCCCUG
ensembl:lncRNA